CAACAGAAUAGCCUUCUAUUCCUCCCUCCCUGGCAUCCAUAUCUGGUAAUCUCCUUAAAUAAUCCUUUACCACUCCCUGUGAUAAAGAAAGUCUGUACCACUGUGAGUAUUGAGAAGCCACUAUUGGACUGUUGUGUCCCUGGCCCAGGCACUCACCUGCUGCUCCACCCAGCGCCUUCCCAAGAGUGGAGUUGACGAUGUGAACACGAUCCAUCACUCCCAGCAGCUCAUCAGUGCCCCUGUCACAGAAAACAGAACAAAAUUUCACUCAGUUACACUGCUCUUAGUUUACGGGAAGCAUCUGAAUGCCUGAUUGACGUUGUGAAACGGGAGCAGUGGUGAGAAGGUGAAUGCGACGUACGCUACAGAGAUGGAAACAGAACACACUUACUUUGAGGAGGUUUACAAAGACAUCAGGAUAGAUAAGCAGGUCAGCCACGUCAGUGGGAAGAGAAACAGAGAUGACGUUUCAGGUUGCAGACCCUUUGCCAGAACCGGGAAGGAGACAAAAGAGGAUAAAGUGUGUCCAACCUGCACAACUGAAAAUAAAAACAGCGGGAGGAGAGGGAAGCAGCACACCGCGCGUGCGCAGCCCUCCGGUGAAAAAUGAUAUCGUAUCCGUUAAAUAGGGGCCAUGGACAAUUCUGAUUUGACGGAGAAUGGACGUGAAAGCACAGAGGAACAUCUGGAAAAAUUUCUGAAACGCUCGUUCGCUGCUGUCGUUACUGUGCGGUUGGGAAUCUUUCGGAGGGAAGGCCUCAAAAUCCCCGGCUUUGCCUGCUGUUGGCGACCGAGAUGGAGGUCGAAUUGUUCGGACAGAGAUGGCGCUCAAUACUCAAUGCCGGAAAGCUGAUCAGAGCUCAAAGUUUUCGGAUGACUUAGAGUCAGACCGUGGUUGGGUAUGGCAAGGAGAGAUUUUCUUCCUUCUCCCGUCUGCGUGAGAUGUGGGACAUUUGAGAGACUUUGAACUUUUACUGUGCUCAUGGACUUCUUCAUCAAGUUAUGGUAUUGUUGCACUGUUGUAACUAUAUGUUAUAAUUAUGUGGAUUUGUUAGUUUUUUUCAGUCUUGGUCUGUCUUGUGUUUUGUGAUAUCACACCGGAGGAAAUAUUCUAUCAUUUCUUAAUGCAUGCAUUAAUAAAUGACGAUA